AAGUCGUAACAAGGUUUCCGUAGGUGAACCUGCGGAAGGAUCAUUAAAAGGUUUAUCUGGGGGUGGGUGAAGCCCCCCCGGAAAACUCCACCCUUGUGUAUUAUUACUUGUUGCUUUGGUGGGCCGCGAGAUUGCCUAGCGAUUGAGCACCGGCUUCGGCUGGAGAGCGCCUGCCAGAGGACCAAACUCUGUUAUUUAUGUCGUCUGAGUACUAUUUAAUAGUUAAAACUUUCAACAACGGAUCUCUUGGUUCUG
rnacentral:misc_RNA from 1 species